GAAUUUUGGACAAUGGGGGAAACCCUGAUCCAGCCAUUCCGCGUGAGUGAAGAAGGCCUUCGGGUUGUAAAGCUCUUUCAGCAGGAACGAAACGGUCGGCUUUAAUAAAGUCGGCUAAUGACGGUACCUGCAGAAGAAGCACCGGCUAACUACGUGCCAGCAGCCGCGGUAAU
rnacentral:rRNA from 1 species